rnacentral:rRNA from 1 species
UACGUAGGGCGCAAGCGUUGUCCGGAAUUAUUGGGCGUAAAGAGCUCGUAGGCGGUUCGUCGCGUCGGCUGUGAAAACCCGGAGCUCAACUCCGGGCCUGCAGUCGAUACGGGCGGACUUGAGUGUUGCAGGGGAGACUGGAAUUCCUGGUGUAGCGGUGGAAUGCGCAGAUAUCGGGAAGAACACCCGUGGCGAAGGCGGCACUCUGGGCCGGUACUGACGCUGAGGAGCGAAAGCGUGGGGAGCGAACAGG